CGAGUCACUUCCGGGAGCGGCCGGAGCACAUCCGGCGCUGCUAGGGCUCAGGGAUACUGAGGGCAGAAGUUACGACAAGAAAGGGCGGAAGUGGCUCCUACCCAGGGACCUGCCGAGCGAUAGACAGACGUGACGCCCAGCGGAAGUGAAGGCAGCUUCUGUUAAGGGCUGAAGCUGAGCAUUGGAGAGCGCUCCCGGACUUCCGGGAAAGACAAAUCGGGAAGUGGGAGCUUGGAAGCUGGGCAGGUUCAUGAAUUAUGCAUCAAGGCAUAGGUUCUCCCCUCCCUUUCUAGCUUUAUCUUACUUAUAUGUGUAUAUCAUGUAAGCGUGUGCGGUUGCCCUCGGCAACCCACUGGAGUUACGGAUAGCUUCGAGUUUCCCUGCCUGGGUGCUGGGAACCGAACCUCCGGCCCUCCGGAAGAGCAACAAGCACUCCUUGCCGCCGAGCCAUCCCUUCAGCCUCAUAAAGACGAUACCUGUUGGUCUCCUAUACCAGCUUCAUCUGCUUCAGUUGACUGGUGUAAUUAAAGGAUGUGGUUGUCCGAAAUCCAGCUCAGUACCAAACCUGGAAUUAAUCUUUAAUUUUUAAGACAUUAUAUCUGUCAGGCUGUGUGUUUAUUAAAUCUAUGUAGCCACAAGGCCAAAUAUGAUCUGGCUAUAGUCUGUCUGAACUAAGGACUUUUUUUGGCUAAUGUAGAAUUAUGUUUUCUCAGUGAGAAAGCAAAAUUACUUUAAAAAAUAACUGUGAUCUUAUUCUACAGAUGAUUAAAGUGAGACUGUCUAAGUGACUCCCCAUACCCCCAAGUUACAGCCAGGAAUAGCAAACAAUACCUUUACAUAUUUGUUUGUUGUUUGAGAUAGGGUCUCAUUCUGUAGCUUUGGCUUAGCCUGGAGAUCAGGUUGACCAGGAACCUUGUCUACUUUUUGAGACAGAAUCUCUUGUAGUCCAGGCUAGCCACCACUUUCUAGGAUAACUUUGAACUCCCAAUUCUGCUGCCUCAGUCUCCCUCAGUGCUGGAUUAUAGACAUGAGCCACCACACCCCUUAUUUAUUUUGGUUUGAGUUUUUGUGUAUAUGUACAUAUGUAGAGGCCUGAGGUUUAUCAGAUAUCUUCCUUAAUCCCUGUGCUCAUUUUUUUUUUUUGAGGUGGGUCUCUGACUGAACCUAAAGCUCAUCAAUUCAAUUACAUCAACUGUCAACCAGCCCUGGGUGUCUUCCUGCCUCCCCUGACCAAGAUCCUCAGAUUUACAUCCCCCCAGCACUAUUUUGUUGUUGUUGUGUUUUUAUUGUUGUUUUUUGUUUUGUUUUUCUGAGACUAUUGUUUUGGAGGCUGUCCUGGAACUCAAUUUGUAGGCCAGGCUGGCCUUGAACUCACGGAGAUCCACCUGCCUCUACCUCCGAAGUGCUGGGAUUAAAGGUGUGUGCCACCACCGCCCGGUUUAGCAGGAUAAAGGUUUAAGCGGCCUGGUCAUCAUGUACCUGUAAUCCCAGCAUUUAAGAAGCUGUGGCAGGAUUAAGAGUUACAGGCAGGCCACCCCUAGGUUACAUAGAGAAGACUGUCUGCAAAGGAGAAGGAGGUGAAAGGAAAAAAGGCCGGGGGGGGGGAUGUGGAAGCAAAACGUUAAUUCCCAAAAGUCCUGGUUCUCCAGCUCUGCCCCCUGCAUACAUUCAUCAACCACUCUCAGAGCCUUGGUGCCUCUGCUGUAAGGAGCUACUCAAGUCCCCAGAACAAUGCUUUAGAGUAUAAGUGUAGGACUUGGUGGGGAGGAGGGCUGUUAAUUUUAGCCUGGGGUUCUCCAGCUGGCACAGUUUCCAUCUUGAAUCAUUUCCACACCUUGAGCUCUACUGGGAGAUCCCUCCUCCUGGGGGCUUUCCCAUCCCCUGCUUUGGUAUGUGCCACAAUGGUAAGCAUUCCAGAAACGUGCCUGGGAGAACCUUGGCUGAGUCAUUUGAUGUACUCAACAAAGAGUCUGGUGAUGGAAGAUGACGCCUCCAAUCAGGCCUGUGAUGUGUAGCCUUCAAGAAACUUCCAAAAGAGCAUCUUGGCUCUUGCUUUCUUUCCCUUCUAUAGCUCUGUUACCCAAAGCUGCCUGAGGACUUUGUUCUCUGUUCAAGUUUUAGAAAAGAGGAAAAUUAAGCUCUGCUCCCCAGGGCCCUGUGCGUUGUCACCGUUAGGACUGACCCAGGCUGGUAUAACUCUAGGCAAUGCAGCUCUCCAGAUUGUCUCCUGUCUUUCUAGCCUUCUGCCUUUCCUUUGCGGGAGAGGGCGUUUGGGGAACGGGAACAGGUGAGAUUUCCAGUGUCUUUAAUGGUGUGUUUAAUUUAUUUAAAUUUAGAAGGACUGCAGUCUAAUCAGAGAGCAAUUAAUUCCUCCUUCAUUAGGGACUUUGUGUGUGCCUUUUGCAUAUGGAUGAUCCACAGGGUCACACUGUCCCUUUAGAGAGGAUUGCUGAAGGGGAGAGCAGGGAGCCCAUCCGCACAAAUGCUCUUUCCUUUGCAUUCUCUGGCCAGGGCUCCAGCCCUGGGGAAAGCUGGGAAGGUUGAGGAGGCUCCCUCACCUUCCUCAGAGCCCUUCCCUAACAGCCUGUCAGCAGCUUCCCCUGCACCUUCAGUUUCCGCCAGCUCUCUCUCUUUUCUCUUUUUCGAGAGAGGGUUUCUCUGUGUAGCUUUGUAGACUGGGUCGGCCUCGAACUCACAGAUUUGCCCUCUUUCCUCCUUUCUGAUACCUCUAGAUUCUCAAGGUGUGUUGACAGCCCUCCUCGGAAGGCUUCUUUGCCUCAUGCCUCUGCUGGUUGGCUCAUUACUCUGGCCAGCUUGCUGCUUUCCCCUGGAGCAGUUUGUCCUAAACACUACUGUUGUCCUGAGAGAUACGUUCCUUCCUCCCCCUACUCAUCACUGUGUGCUUUAGGGGUUCAGCCACACGUCCCUCAAUAUACACUACAGCUCCCCAGCUUAAUCUAAAACACACACAUAAACAUUGCUAUUUAUAUCUUCAAAGAUGAAGCACAUGGAGGCAGGUACAGUGCAGGAAGCCCACACUGCCCUCUUGGAUACUGUAUUGUCUCCUACUUCCCUGGGGCUACCCAUUUCCAGGGAGCAGGUGAGGCACAGAUUGGGGGGUGAGCAAGACCUGGGUGGUUACCACAGCAACAGAGCCUAGCAACAGCUGAGAAGCUGAUGUGUGGGCUUUACUAGGGCUGUUAAAGAGCCAAGCCUAGAAUUGGGACCUCAGAGGGGACUGAUCCCAGCUGGGCAGCCUGUGUUCCCUCCCCUGACACACCCCUUGAUUCCACCCCCACAGCCCAGCAAAUGCCUUCCUGGGAAUGGAAAAGCUAAUGAGCUAACCACAGGCUUCUGGUGCGCAUAGCUUUUGGCGGGCAGUUGGUGGGGCAUGUUCAGGGUUAGGGUGAAAAUAAACCCUCUCUCCCGUGGCGCACUUUCUUUCUCUCUCCAUCUCUCUGACCCUUUAUCCUCUGCCUUAGCUGUCUUGUCCAGCACGGUGACUCAUGCCUAUAAUCCCAGCAUGCAAAAAGCCAAGGUGGGGGGAUCUAGCCUGGAAUACAGAGUGAGAGACACUGUCCACAAUCAAUCAGUCGCUUUCUGGUUUGUCCCAUUGCCUGUCCUAAGAAGUGCCUCCCUUUUCUCUGUCUUUUCUCUCACUUUCUCUUGACCCUCCCUGAGAAGGAACAAGUAAGCCACACUCCUAGUUCCAGUUCCGCUCCUGCAGGGCUCUUCCUCCUCUGGACCCUUCCUUCAGCUCCUCCGUUCUGUCCCAAAUGAAGACAUCAGGUAGAGCAGCCAGGUGACAGUCUAGACUGGAGAUGUUCCCCAUCUCCCCUUUGUGAACCAUUCUCCCUCCUGCCAGUCCUGGGUGUGUGCGUGCGUGCGUGUGUGCGCGUGUGUGUGUGGAAAGAUAUACAGGUAUGUAGAAGAUGGAGGACAAAGAGCUAAGAGGAAGGGGACUCACUCUCUCUCGGGGUUCCGGUGGGGUCUUGGAGAGCAGCGGAACCCUGACCUUGGGUUCUCAGCUUCUCAUGUGACUUCUCCCUAAUAAAAUAUAUGACAUCCCUA